AACGAACGCUGGCGGCAGGCCUAACACAUGCAAGUCGAACGAGAGUUUUUAACUCAAGUGGCGGACGGGUGAGUAACACGUAAGAAUUUGCCUCUAGGAGGGGGAUAACAACUGGAAACGGUUGCUAAUACCCCAUAUGCUUUCGAGUGAAAUGGAUUUCCGCCUAGAGAGAAGCUUGCGGCUGAUUAGCUUGUUGGUGAGGUAAUGGCUCACCAAGGCGACGAUCAGUAUCUGGUUUGAGAGGACGAUCAGACACACUGGAACUGAGACACGGUCCAGACUCCUACGGGAGGCAGCAGUGGGGAAUUUUCCGCAAUGGGCGAAAGCCUGACGGAGCAAUACCGCGUGAGGGAUGACGGCCUAUGGGUUGUAAACCGUCUUUUUUCAGGGAGGAAUCAAUGACGUGUACCUGAAGAAUAAGCAUCGCUAACUCCGUGCCAGCAGCCGCGGUAA
rnacentral:rRNA from 1 species